rnacentral:rRNA from 1 species
UAUCUCUGUAGAGUCUGCAUAUCAAUAAGCGGAGGAAAAGAAACUAACAAGGAUUCCCUUAGUAACGGCGAGUGAAGCGGGAAGAGCUCAAAUUUGAAAUCUUCAAGGUUCUACCUUGACGAAUUGUAGUUUAAAGAAGUGUUUUCUGUUAGAUGAGUAGCAAAAGUUCCUUGGAAUGGGACAUCAUAGAGGGUGAGAAUCCCGUAUUUGGUUAUUCAUUCUAGCUUUGUGAUACACUUUCAAAGAGUCGGAUUGUUUGGGAAUGCAGCCCAAAAUGGGUGGUAAAUUUCAUCUAAAGCUAAAUAUUGGCGAGAGACCGAUAGCGAACAAGUACCGUGAGGGAAAGAUGAAAAGAACUUUGAAAAGAGAGUUAAACAGUACGUGAAAUUGUCAAAAGGGAAGCGUUUGACACCAGUGUUGUUUUUCCAAAAAUCAAUUACGAAUGGCUUGAUUUUGUGUUGUAUUGACCUUAUCAGCUUUCUUCACUUUUUUCGAGUCUUUCUUAAUGCACUUUUCGGUUAACAAGUCAACAUCAGUUUCUUUUGUUGUAAAAAGGUCAUUGGAAGGUGGCUUUCUUUUCGGAGAAAGUGUUUAUAGCCUUUGACUCCUGCAAUCGGAGAGACUGAGGUCUGCAGCGUAGAUCCUUCUGGAUUAGAUUCAUUUGUGCUAAGUUGUAGCCUUUUAUAGACAACUUGUUGACUAUAGUUCGAUCCUGUAGGCUUACUCGCUUAUGUAAUUUUACCUACGCUUAGGAUGUUGACUGAUAUGUAGUCGUA